CGACUCCGACCCACGUGGCUCCUCUGCCGACACCUCUGGCCUCGCUCUUAUCCUCGUCGAUAAAAUCAAGGUAUUUGAUUUCAUUUUCUUUUCCGACACAUAUUCAAUUAUAUUACUAUAUUAUAGUUCAUUUCUUAUAAGAAUGUGAUAUUUAAUCAAAGAUUAACUCUCAAUUUAGUAGAUAUAAGCUUAGUUACUAUUAUCACUAACUAAUUUGAUUUAAAAUUUAAUAGUAUACUAAAUUUGCUACUAGCGACAUAUUUCUGUAUAAAACAAAAUUACGAGAUUAGUUUAUAAAUAAUUGAUUCUUGUAGGGGUUGGCGACGAAGACCUUGAAAGAAAUCAACAGUCUAUAUAAAAAGAGACCGGAACUGAAACAGGCUUUAGACGAAUGUAGUCGAAGAUACAACACGAUCUUAAAGGCUGAUGUUCCCGAAGCCAUUGAAGCUAUAUCUAAAGGAGUUCCGAAGUUCGGUGAAGA
rnacentral:lncRNA from 1 species